CCUACGGGGCGCAGCAGUGGGGAAUAUUGGACAAUGGGCGAAAGCCUGAUCCAGCCAUGCCGCGUGUGUGAAGAAGGCCUUCGGGUUGUAAAGCACUUUCAGUGGGGAAGAAAGCCUUGGGGCUAAUACCCUCGAGGAAGGACAUCACCCACAGAAGAAGCACCGGCUAACUCCGUGCCAGCAGCCGCGGUAAUACGGAGGGUGCGAGCGUUAAUCGGAAUUACUGGGCGUAAAGCGCGCGUAGGCGGUCUGAUAAGCCGGUUGUGAAAGCCCCGGGCUCAACCUGGGAACGGCAUCCGGAACUGUCAGGCUAGAGUGCAGGAGAGGAAGGUAGAAUUCCCGGUGUAGCGGUGAAAUGCGUAGAGAUCGGGAGGAAUACCAGUGGCGAAGGCGGCCUUCUGGACCGACACUGACGCUGAGGUGCGAAAGCGUGGGUAGCAAACAGGAUUAGAUACCCUUGUAGUC
rnacentral:rRNA from 1 species